rnacentral:lncRNA from 1 species
UCCACCAGGGGAUCGAAGCAGGUCCUACCUAGGACAAGUUUUCUCAGCAUUCAGCACUAUGUCACCAAAUGACCAGGAGGCAGCCCAAGAUGGAAAUCCUUGGUAGAGAUUUCCUUUGGAAAAUUCCACUGUAUAUCCAUGAAAGACCGAUCUUAGAAUUCUUAUGGAAAAAAAAAUUAUCUUUACAGAUCCCAUGCAAGGGUGUCAUGGAUAACCAGGGGUCCUGGACCACAAAGCAACUCCUCUGGAAGAUUCAUGUAUAGGACAACUCUGGGCUGCAGGAGCCCCUAGGACCUGGGUGAGCUGCUUUAACUUCUUCCUCUCUAAACUCAGCUAAAGACCCGGAACCCUACAGAACCCAGUGUGGAUGCCCAUCAUUGGAUGAUUGCAUCUGCUGCUGGCACCAAUCACAGAGCUGCCCAGGCCUACAGGGUACCACACAGUUGGCGGAAGUGCAGGGACCCAUGUGCCCAGGCCAUGCCACAGACAACCGCAACUGCAUCCUUCAAUGAAGCUCCAGUUAGGAGUGAUGGCUCAUGACUGUAAUCCCAGAAUUGGAAGGCAGAGGUGGGUGGAUCCCUGGAGCUCAGACACUCUGGCUAGUUCCAAACCAACACCAUCUGUGGAUUGUGCUCCUUGGAAUAACUGUUGAAUCUGACAACGCACUGCGGCUUCACGAAGUUUCUGCUGUCCUUGAUGCUGUUUAAUUAAAUUUCUGCACUUAACUCUG